CUUCCGGGCGUUUUCCCAGUUUCACCCGAGCCGUUUCCUGCGCCCUCGUAGGGAAGCGUGUGUCACGACUUAGCGCGUUUCGAGGCCAUCAGAGGUCUGGCCUGGGGCUGCUCUCAUCUGAGAGCGCGGCCGCAGGAGCAUGAACGAUCCCCCGAAGGGGGAGGCGCCCGCGGCAGCGCUGGCCGCUGUGCUGAAGCACAGCUCGGCGCUGCCGUCCGAGAGCGCCCAGGUUCGGGGCUACGACUUCAACCGCGGCGUGGACUACCGCGCGCUGCUGGAAGCCUUUGGCACCACUGGUUUCCAAGCCACCAACUUCGGGCGCGCAGUGCAGCAAGUCAACGCCAUGAUAGAGAAGAAGCUGGAGCCUCUGCCGCAGGAUGAAGACCAGCACGCAGACCUGACCCAGAGCCGCCGCCCACUCACUGGCUGUACCAUUUUCCUGGGCUAUACGUCCAACCUCAUCAGUUCAGGCAUCCGUGAGACCAUCCGUUACCUCGUUCAGCACAACAUGGUGGAUGUUUUGGUGACUACAGCUGGAGGCGUGGAAGAGGAUCUCAUCAAGUGCCUGGCGCCCACAUACCUGGGCGAGUUCAGCCUCAGGGGAAAGGACCUACGUGAGAACGGGAUCAACAGAAUUGGGAACUUGCUGGUGCCCAAUGACAAUUACUGCAAGUUUGAGGACUGGCUGAUGCCCAUCCUGGACCAGAUGGUGCUGGAGCAGAACUCAGAGGGCAUGAAGUGGACACCUUCCAAGAUGAUCGCCCGGCUUGGCAAGGAGAUCAACAACCCAGAGUCAGUGUAUUACUGGGCCCAGAAGAACCACAUACCCGUGUUGAGCCCAGCACUCACAGAUGGCUCACUGGGCGACAUGAUCUUCUUCCAUUCCUACAAGAACCCAGGCCUGGUGCUGGACAUCGUGGAGGACCUGAGGCUCAUCAAUACCCAGGCCAUCUUCGCCAAGCACUCUGGAAUGAUCAUCCUGGGCGGGGGCGUGGUCAAGCACCACAUCGCCAAUGCCAACCUCAUGCGAAAUGGGGCUGACUAUGCUGUCUACAUCAACACAGCCCAAGAGUUUGAUGGCUCAGACUCUGGUGCUCGGCCAGACGAAGCUGUCUCUUGGGGAAAGAUCCGGGUGGAUGCACAGCCUGUCAAGGGUCCCAUCCACAGGUCUAUGCUGAUGCCUCCCUGGUCUUCCCCCUCCUUGUGGCUGAAACCUUUGCCCAGAAGGUAGAUGCCUUCACGCCUGAGAAGAAUGAGGACUGAAUGACUAUGGACCCAAGGAGACACAGCUCCACAUACACAGUUGCUCAAGCAAGCCACGGUUCCUCUUUCCACCUCGAAAUGUCCCUCAUGUGCCCUCCUCUGCAGGGUGUGACUUCUCAUCUACCAGACCCUCAAGAAGUAGGUAGAACAUUGGUGCUUUCUUAGUUCUAGUGAGAACUAGGCCCUCAAGUCCCCAGAGUCCCUCAGUUCCCUCCAUCCUCUUAGGAGGCUUAUUUCCUCUAGCCACACCUUAGCGCCUAUGUCUCCUUCCCUAAGGCUCCCCAGCCCUGACCGCACUAAGCCCAGCCAGUCUGUUCCCUGCCCAGUGCUCCCACCAGGCUGGGACACGUCAGGAUGGGGCUUACAGGGCUUGGGGCUGGAAACCACAGGGAUGCUUGCAGGUAGAUCAGGUUUUCUGAACAACUACAGCUUCAUCUCCCCUGGGGUCAUAUGUUGCCAUCUGUUCUCCCCUCUCCCAGGGUCAGUCCCAGUGGCUCAGCCUGGCGUUGGUGGCCCUGCCUGACCUGGAUCCUGCUGCUGCCACUGCCAUCCCAAAAUUCUAUUUUCUAACCAAUGUGUGCCACACCUCCAAGCCUUAGCACAUACUGUUCCCUUUACUAGGAAUGCCCUUCCUGUCCUUUUACUCCUCCUUCCAGCCCCCGGUUCUAAUAGCACUCCUUU